GGGCUGCAUCUGCUGUGUACUACAAUACAAUAUACGCCAAUAGGUGAAAGAAGAGUGACUGGAGGAAAUAAAUGCUUCAAGGUCUCGCCACAACGCAGAA